CGUGGGGAACCUGCCCCAUAGUCUGGGAUACCACUUGGAAACAGGUGCUAAUACCGGAUAAGAAAGCGGAUCGCAUGAUCAGCUUUUAAAAGGCGGCGUAAGCUGUCGCUAUGGGAUGGCCCCGCGGUGCAUUAGCUAGUUGGUAAGGUAAAGGCUUACCAAGGCGAUGAUGCAUAGCCGAGUUGAGAGACUGAUCGGCCACAUUGGGACUGAGACACGGCCCAAACUCCUACGGGAGGCAGCAGUC
rnacentral:rRNA from 1 species